UACAGAGGUCCCAAGCGUUGUUCGGAUUCACUGGGCGUAAAGGGUGCGUAGGCGGUCGGGUAAGUCUGAUGUGAAAUCUCCAAGCUUAACUUGGAAAUGGCAUCGGAUACUAUUCGGCUCGAGGAAUGGAGGGGAGACUGGAAUACUUGGUGUAGCAGUGAAAUGCGUAGAUAUCGAGUGGAACACCAGUGGCGAAGGCGAGUCUCUGGACAUUUCCUGACGCUGAGGCACGAAAGCCAGGGGAGCAAACGGG
rnacentral:rRNA from 1 species